GAAAGUGGAAAGUCAUCAACCUGUUGAAAACAAAGGAAGUAAACGCAAUAUCCACGGGAUGGCACUACUGUCAAAAUAAAUCCAUGGAACAUCAGCUGAAAACCAAGCCUGGUUCGCAUAUCAUCUGUCAUAUGGCUUCAGGUCCCUUUCCACAGUCGAGUUGGAAAGGAAAUGGUCUGCCAUUUUAGAGCAGAUUCAGCCAGACAAAGGAGAAUCCAAUCUGAGAUGGGGGUCCAGAGUUCCUCCAAGGGCCUUACCAUGGUUCUUUGAAAUUACUGUACAGUCAUUUGUGUUAACUGUCGGAUCCAACAGUUUCAGUUUACUUUUUAUCUAAGUUUAAAACAAUAAAAUCUUCUG